GAGGGAUAGGUUAGUCAAUCAACGGAGAAGGUGCGGCAGCGGUGGUGGUGGAAGAGGGAGAAGGUCCACCUGAAGAAGAACCACCGGCUGGAGAAGAAGAUCCACCCACCUCACAUGCCCUGCGUGGACCGUCAUGGUCAUCCUCUCUAGGACAAGUGGCAGGCAUGGGUGUAAGUGUAGAAGCGGGCUCAGGAGGCACAACAGUCUGCUUCCCUGACCUGAGGGUGAUGGCACUCACGUUCCUAGGAUUUUGCACAGUCUGGGAGGGUAGUUUAUCAGAAUUUUGAGACUGUGCCUGGUUCAACUGAGUAGCCAUCUAACCCAUUUGGUUAGUGAGACUUUGUAUAGAAGCUCUCGUCUCCUGCUGAAAUUGCAUAUUAUCUUUCUGAAACUGUAGGUUUUGCAAAGUCAUCUGUCUCACUAACUCUUCCAAUGUAGGGUCAGAAUAAGUGGAAGGUUGGGCAGCUGGUUGGGCAGGUGCUUCUUGUUGCUGUUGUUGUUGCCUUUGGUGUUGUUGCAUAGGUGGAGGCACAUAUCUGUUAGGUGCUCCGGCAUUCUGGAAAGGUGGCGCCUGCUGCUGCUGCUGUGGCGCAUUGUUCCACCUAAGAUUAGGGUGAUUCCUCCACCCUGGGUUGUACCUGUUGCUGGACAAGUCAUAAUUCUGCUGUUGUGGCUGCCUGUUGUUGUAGAUGUUAGUAGCAUAAGCUUGAGGCGC
rnacentral:lncRNA from 1 species